GACUGCGCGACGAAUUUAUAGUCAAAGAGAUAGCGCUAAAAUUCUAAACGUUAAAAGCUAGUCCAGAAAAGGCAACCGUUCUCGACUAAAUUCUUUUAUUCACUGGCCCGUGCGAAUUUUUUUAUUCACUGGCCUCGAGCAGGAUUCCAAGGAUUUGAAAAUGUUCGGUCACGAUCGAUCGAUCGACGAGCAAUCCUAAAACUCCCUUGAAUUUCUCUCGUCCCGAUUGAUACUCCGUCUCUUUAUAUGCUCUACACGCGGCCUCGACGCCCAACAAAAACCGGCGACUCUGAAAAUUUCUCGCACGAACGGCAACAAAGAGCGACUGUUUAUCAAGAGUUGCGGGUAUUUCAACCCUGUUGCCAAAGCCCACACUCUCGACGAUUGAACAAAGUAUGGAAGCGAAACGGACCGCGUAAUUGCCGAUACGCAACGCUUUCGGCGUAUUAAAAAAAAAAAAAAAAGAGAGAGAGAGAGAGAGAAAGAAAAAUAACCAAACAAACAAUAUAUAAUUAAAUUUAUUACAUAAUAUAUUCUUUUCUGCCGUGCAUUAUUAAUCCGUGUCCUGUGUCUAAAGAUAUCGAAUUUAUAAGCCUUCCUGAACGUUGUUAUCGCGUUCGGAAAACGAUGAAAAAUAUACCCGCAAAAGGGCUCGUAAACUGUGAAAAUUUUCUGAAACAUUUUCAUGAGAGCAACCAACACGCGAACAAUUUUUUGGGUGAAAUUUCGCCCCUGGGAUCUGUUUAUCAUCGAACCAAAAUAUGUCUACAUUCCCAGCAUCUCUCGCAAAUUACAUUUCCGGAAAGUGUGAAAUUUGUCUGAAUUUUCGAGUUGCCACGCAUCUCUCGCGAGUGUUGUUUGCUUUGGAAACGAUCCACGUUUAUCGAAAAAUAUGUUUCGCCCGUCGAUGCGAAGCCAGUUUCGAAAAUAGACGCGGCUUCGGAGAAGUUUCCUGCAGGUUGUGUGCCAGAGCGCAUCGUAUCGUUGCUCCAGUCUCAACUAAAGUUACUUCCAUCGAGCGUAAGCGGAUCAGGGUCGAAUGGGAAGAAAGAACGCAGUACGAAGUACGCGUACUUCGGCGCCUCAAGAUCGAACACUGUACACGGAGGAUCCUCCCCAAGGGGAUUUUACACUUCGGAGGUGAUCUACAAGCUUCCCCACUUUCCCGGCUUAUCCUCUUUCUCUGCCUUUGGGGACCAUUCGAUUAUUUUCUCUCGCGAAAACGGGGAAUCCACGGUGGAAACCAGAGGAGAAUCCUCGACAAUAGAGCAAGUUUAUUUUAUUUAUCUACUUACGAAAUUGGCUCUUCGUAUACAGGAAAGUAGAGCGUAUAAUAACACCAAUUGCGAGUACGGUUGGUCACCUAGCGACGUGUUUUCUUUAUCGCCUACGUUGGACUUUGGAACGAAUCAAGAUACUACCAGGAAUGAUCGAAGCUGAGAUUUUUUUUUUAAAUCUGAGCGAUGACGUUUCAUAAAGUGAUCUGAUCGACCUACACCUCUUGCAGAGAGAAAGAAAAUUGAUUACCAAAUGGACCUAAACCUGGUAUACGGAAUAUCAGUGGUAGCGAACCAUGAUCAUAAAAACAAUUCAGGUGGUUGGUACCAUUGAUUGCGAGCUCGGUGAAUUUAACUGCAGAAACUGCCAGGAAGCAGCCCCGAAUUAAACUGUAAACCGUUUCAACGGAAGUUCCCAGCCACGAAAUCGUUCUGUUCCACACACGAGGAGGCAAAGCAGUACGAUUGGCUCUGCUCAGACUAUCGCUGAUAAAACAUCGACGGACUCAAGAAAUCUAAUUCAUGGUCGAACCGCGUCUACGUGGUUUCUCGAAGAAAGGAGGUAACGGAACGUAGAAAUGAAAAUGCAUCGAAAUGCCAACGAAAGGAAAGAAAAAAAGCAGCAGCAGGUCCUCCGAGGUGGAAACUAGUACCGAAUUUACAUUAACGAAAUAGACAGAGCUAUCGAUUCCCGAUCGUCGCACGAAGCGGAAAAAAGGGGUGGAAGAAAGGGGGGAGGAGGGAAGAACGACGGCACAACGGCAAUCCAGUUAAUUGAAAUCGAGGUACUCCUGAAUUCGUUCCUCUCUCCUGAAAUAUCACGAAAGCUAUUGAAACAUCGACGUCGAUUAGUCUGCUACGAUGCUCGCGCUAAUUGAAAUUAUUAAUUACAAAGAUUGAUACGCUUCUUUUCUUGUCGUUAACCCUCUUCCUCUGUUUCGCUAUCAAUUGCAUAAUCCGCGCCAUGUCAACGGAAACCGAUGUGAUUCGUGAGAUUGUGUCAGCGCGACAAACUGAAAAAUAUGGUAAACAUUGGAUACUUUUUUGCUAGACUUCUUCGAGUUAAAAAAUUAUUUUAUUCCAGUGAAUUCUGUUUAAGAGCGGCGCGUAAAGAUGGAAUGAGUUUGUCACGUGAAACUGUUUCGUUGUUUAUACAGACCAAUUUGACCAGAACGAACGAGAUUAUAGGGCUGUAACCAUCGAGCGAGCGAUCGAAUCUCAUCCAGGGGUUGGCGAGUAAUUGAAACAGCACGAACGACGUGCACGGAAGGAAUUUUAAUACCGCCGUCGUGGAAACACCAUGAAUCUCACGCCCAUCGAGCUCCGUUCAGAUUUUAUACGGUCUUAACGCCGGUGUAAGGGCUGCCAUGCGCUCCACGAAUAUCUCUCCCGAGAAAUCAAUCGAUUAGCGUAAUUGAAUUCAACGAGAAAGCGUGAAGACGUUCGAUCGCUUAUCCUCCACCCUUCCCUUCGAUCGCUGCACCCUAGGAGAAUAUUCGAAGCUGUUAAAAGGGAUAACCCUUGCUUACCGAACUUUAUUACUGUUAUAUUUAUAUGUUUAACGUAGAACUGUUGAUGUUCGGUUUUUCAAAAAUGUAUUCUUUACGUUUUAAAGAGGAGAAUAUAUAUUCGUUUAUUCUUCUGAAAAUUCAUGCGAACGAUGGCAAAAGCCCGAGAGAACCGCUACUGAAGUUAAUGGACGACUAAAAUAUUAAAAUCUGGGAAAAGCUCUGCGCGAACUUCCGUUUCGGUGUAUACUAAAUAACCCAUUAAAAGCACACGCGACGAAGAGCUUCGUUGAUCGCUGUUCUAAACCCCCGAACGAAACAGCGACUCCUAUCAUUAAUUAGUUCCUAGGUGAAAAGAUAAACACCGUCAGAGCUUACCCGCGGGUAUUUGCUUCGAGAACAGUUCAGUGACACGUUGUUGGAAAACGGAUCACUCGGCCUUUAUAAUAUCCUUUUCUCUGAUAACAAACUUUCCUGGCUCUGGACGUUAAAUAAUUACGCGGUUGAGCCCCGGCCGUGACGAUCGAACGGCUGAAACGACCGAGGCGUUAAAGUGUUAAUUUACCCGCUUUUAGCGUGCACGGUUUUCGCAUCCACGCGAUCCAGGCGUCGUUCGCCAAAGGAAAAGGGUUACCACGCCUGUCACAGCCCUUAAAGCACGAAAACUGCAUUCUCGCAAAUGCACCCCCUCCCCUUCCUCACAAUUUCGUACAAGAUAAACCGAGUUACUCGCGACCCUUUUUACGUGACCCUUCAAACUAAAGGACGCACAGUUUCAAGCCACCGAGGUGAAACGAAAUUUCGUUGAAAAUCCCAUCCUCUCCCCUUUUCGCACGUACACAACCGAGUUUCUUCGACGCUGGGGGGGGGGAGUGUUUUCGAGGAAAAACGACGAAUCAGCGAUCCUGUUCGUCGCGCUUCGUCGAAUCAAUUAAGAACGAUAUCCGUUUUACGCUUAUGCGAAAGAGGGUGUUGCGUAAAAUUACAUUUCACGCUCGACUCGCUUUAUGAAAUUUCAGAACAGGCGCGGAUCUUGCCGCCAAGCCACCAGCAGUGUGCAGUUUCUUUAUUAAAGUACCGCGAAGGCAUCCUGUAUUAUCAUUUCGUACUUUGACGCGAUCCGCCUGUGCAGCUGCCAGGAAGAGACAAUAUUACGCUUCGGUUCACCCACGCAUCGAUUCGAGAGGUAUUCAGGGAAAUUUUGAUAUUCGAAGGAGUCGCUCUAUAUAUAAUACUUUCAGUUCCUCGAAUUUAUUAUUUGAAAUUGCUUUUGUUUUCGAAAUCGUGUUCUCAAAAACCCAACUCGAGUUCUUUGUGCCUUCUGUCGGCUAAAAUUUCUAAUUCUUCGUUCGGAAUACUAGUCUAGAUAAAAGUUGCGCUCAUUCGUGUCGGAGGCAGAGAGACGGAGCGCGCAACCAACAGAUAAGGGUUUGAAAUAGUGGCGCGAACGUCCUAAACUCUCUCGACAGAAAAGUUAAUUUUAAGUUAAGAUCAUACUUUAGCUGGCACGCCAUGCCACCGCGCUUGGCACAAGCUUCAGAGCUUGCGUGUGCACGAAACACCAGCGUAAGCAGCGUUUCGUAUAAUAAGCCGUGAAUUACGAGCUCGAGCACUCGAGGCAGCUCGCUGUAAAAGGGAUACGCGCACGCGGCUAUAGCGCUAAUUAUGUCGGUCGUUUAAUUGAUAUUCACCGCGAUGAACUAAUCGCUCGAACCGCUUCAAAACAGAAUCUCGACGGUGCAUUCUCCUUUGCAUCUUUUACUUCUCCCCGCGUGGCCGUCGAUUGCUUAUUUAUUCAAAUGGUCUCAACUUUUUUAAUCCGAUCGCCUGGCUCUUCAGCCGUUUAUCAAUGAACGUAGAUUAAAACGUACGAUAGUAAAUAGAACGGUAAUCGAAGGAAACGAGUCUGCUUUGAAUCCAUUUUAAUCGAACCGUUUUUACUUCUGUCAAUUUUAUAUACAUCUCACAAACACGUUAACGUUUAUUUUUAAAUAUCCAAGAACGCUAUGUGAAUUUAAUUUUACCAUUUCCUAGACCUACCCGUUGGUCGAGUCGUUGACAUUAAUUAACUGAUAUCACGUGACGAGUUUGGCGAACGGUCAGUUAUCGUCGACAUUGAAAUUAUCUACGAGCGUCACGGAUGUCAAGAUCGAGUUAACGUAUGCACGGUCAAGGUCCAUCGUCGAUAUUUUCCGCAUGGUAUCUGGUCUAACCGGAAAAUCCAACUUUUCUUGAUGUCGGAGGCUCGCGCAUCGCGGCGAUGUAACGGUCGGAUAAAGGACCCCUACGUGUUUCCUCGUAACUUUUAUCUCCGUGAAAUCCGCGGGAAGCUUAGCUCUGUAAGUAAUCGCGUUAGUUACACAGGGCUUAAAGCGCUGGCGGCGGUCUUUAGGGGGCAAGAAAUUUGUUUCUUUUCCUCCUCGAAACGGUCGUAAUGAUUUUUCCUCGGUGGCUGAUCCGUGAAUAGAAUUUUCGUUUCGUUCGAAGGGAAGUUGAAACAGCAAAAACAGCCAAAAGGAACAAAAACAUUUUCAAAGUUAAAAUCACAGCUAAAAAAUUCGUCCCGAUCGUUUAAUUACUUUCGACGCUGUAUCGACGCAGAAGGGAAAUAUUUCGAAUAGAUAAAAUAAAAAUAUAGAUUUAUAUGAAUGCCAUACAGUUGUUUCAGUUUUUUUUUUUUUUUUUUUUUUUUUUACAGCGUCCGUCUGGUUAUUCAUCGGACGAGCAGCGCGUGUCAGGACAAAUUCGUGCGCUCGUUUGGUACCUUGUCUGUAAUAUAAAUAACGACAUCGUGUUUCGCGAAUCGACAAAGAAUGAUAAAUGAUCGUGUUGAAUACUUGUCACGGAUAGGCGAUAUGUUUCGGUAGCUAGUAUCGAUUGCCAUGGCUGGUACAGGAUUGCCGAUAAAGAGGAUUUGUUGAGAAUUUACGUAUACACUGACAGCCGCACAAUGCAUCAACGUUAAGCACAUAGAUGGCAAAUUCUAAUGCGAUCGCAGCUGCUGGAACCGCGCAUCCCGUUUAUAGUCCUGAAGCAUCGUCGGUCAUUCCCCGAACGCUGGCUAUGUUCAAGGAAUUUUUAGUGAUUUUGACGAAUGAAACUGGAAUUCCGGAAAUUGCUUUCGCAAAAAAGCUUCAAAAAUUCGCUAUUUGCUCGACUCGAAUCGCAAGUCAACAAUGUCGAUCGAUGUCCACGGAGCUGCUUUUAUUGGCCAAAGCUCGUCACGGGGCUUUUCAAUGCGAUUAUAAAGAACAGACUAUCCCAGGGGAUCUAUUCGCUUCUCAAACAUUAAACUCGGGUCCAGCUCAAAGGUAUAUGACGCCCUUAGGCUACGUUGUCUUCCUCGAUAUUCCCUGCCAUCGAUACAAACAUUCUCAGCUUCCUAUCAUCGAUUCCACGUUUAUAUAUUUUGUUAAAUAUGAAAGAAUCGAAGUGUCCAAGUCGUUACACAUCGCAUCAACGCUCAAUGGCUACAGGCAUGACUUUCGUUACAAUAUAACCAGUCCCCAAAGUGUUCCACCCAGUUCGAUUUCACGAUCGAUUUUAUUCACGAUCGAUUUUAUGGAUUCUCCCGGGAUCGCCUCGUUCGCGAUGGAACAGUCGCAGGUUCGAAGAUUUUAAAGUGCACCACCCCGCUCUCGAGUCACGGAGGACUCUUCUCAGCCGCAAUUUUGAACCGCGCAAUCUUUCCGCGCGUUUGUCCUCGAGAAAGCGAGCCAGGACUAACGGGUGGGAAGAGGAUAAACGGAUACGCGAGCGAGGGAAGGGAAUCCUCUUGACCCGAGUAUACUCCGCGAGAUGAAAUCUGGAUCUCUGCGUUAUGACGAGGUCAGACAUCGAGGGAACCCGCGGAGCCGAAUCAAUUUUAUAUUCAUGACGGCGGCAAAUAUCCUCUCCGAAGAUUUACUCGCCAGGCGCGCAGAGAUCUUCGCGUUUUCUUCUUCUCGUUAGUAAGACAUUUAACUUUCAACAGCGGCCUGGAUUUCGGUGUGUUUGAUUCAUCGACCCUCGAAAGAGUCUCGCGUCUGAAAGAGUGGUUUUGUAUUGUUAGGAGAAAAAUUUUAUUUUUGUUUACACUUCCUUAAAGACCAUACGUGAUCGACAUAUGACGAACAGAGACUGACGUAGUCUAACACUAUCGUUAAACUUACGAUACCAUUUGGGAUUUCUGCUCAACAUUCCUUCAAGGAGAAAAGGUUCGCGAAUCGGAAGCCUCGGGCGGAUAUCGAGGAAUUCGCCCGAGUCAAUUGCAGCCGGGGAUUUAUUAACUGAAUUCCCGAGGCGUUAAGAGAAUAACAGCGAAAGACGUUAAAUAGCGGAUGGAAAUCCUUGGAACGUACGCCUCGGGCGUGGAGGGUAAGGGGAUAGACAUCUUCGAGGUGCAACGCAGGAAACGAAAAUAAAAGGAUAAAGGAGAUCGGGACGAGACGGGACAAAGGAUUUUCCGGAUCAGAAGGUGGAUUCUCGUAGUGCCGUUUUCCUGUUUCCGUUUCCGUUUCCGACUUUCAAGCUCGACAUGUAUCCCCGGAUAUCCACAGGCCGAGCCAGGCGAGCGAUCGAAAGAAAGUGUUCAUGCUUGUGACAACGCGGUCAGCGAUGAUCCACCUUGAUAAAAAUUAUGUUUGCGAUACGAAAGAAUAGAAAAAGGUUAGUAGAAAAUAAAUCCACCAUCCUUCUUCCACUCAUGGAAGGAUGAGAAUAGCUCGACAUUCACAGUGCCCAUAAUAACGAGUUCGCAAAGUCGGUAGAACGAAUUCUGAGAUCGUUAUAGCAUACAGAUACGAUUCUGGAAUUAAAACGAAACGAUGGCGAAGGAUUGACGAGCGUCCAGUCGAGCCAGUAAUCAAAACUCGCUGGCUACCUUUGCGAGGCUAUGAAAAAGUGGCGUGGACGACAGCUGACGUUUUAAUUUAACACAGAAAAGCGUCGUUAAAUUCAACCGGUUGCAGCGGAGGUCCGUGAUUGCGUUCUUCGUUUCCGCGAACGCUCACGGAUACGUUGGCGGGGAAUCGAGAAAAUGCGAUUAUUGUUCAACGAAUUAAACGAGCAGCCACCAGGGUGCCGCUAUUCAAUUUGUCUCUCCAGGGGAACGAAUGUAUCGUUUGGAUUUGUUUUCUGGGUAGCGAUAAAUCCUUACAAAAAUUCCAUAAGAUAUCUGACUUUUCGACGCGUGAUAGUUGUUCGUGAAGACAUAGGAUAAGUCGAUGAUUCUUUAAGCCUUAUCCUGUAUUUUAGCGUCACGUUUGAAAAAUAAAAUAAAAUUCACGAAACAGAGGAUUGUGCCACGAAAGUAGAUAGAAGAUGUAAGAAUUUAUUCAGAUGUUGCGAGAAAGAACAGAGAGCUGUUUAUCCAGAGGUUAGGAUAGACGUAGUUCGGAAUACUUUUCGAGGCAGGUAAGAUAGAAGCUGAAGUAAAGUUUCUUUCCAGAUGGAAACGAGGAAUCGUCGAGACGAUAGACGGAGAAUGGCUCUUUCGCGAAAAGCACGGCCUGACUCGGACUCCAACUGCAAAGGGAAUGGAAAUGGGUUGAAAUUGCACUAUCCGUUGCUUCCACGGUUGCGUUGGAUCUUAUGGAAUAACUCUGUGACGAACGUGCGGUUCCCCGCCGAGUAAAAGUAAUUUUCCGUUUCCCUUUGCGGGUGGCGCGCCUUUGUUUCCUCAUUUCGUUUUAUUCGGCCAUCACGGGGAGGGUAUUAGCUCCAUCGAAUCGAGGUAAUAGCGUGAUUAUGGGGAAUGGAACGGAACUAGAAGUUAGUUCUCGAGCAUCGUUUCUCUGUAUGAACUGGCCAGACUACGCGACACGUUGCAAUCGCACUUUCCUUUCGCUUAUCGUUUAUCGCGGGGUCGUCGGAAAUUCUUGGCUGGAUAAGAAUUACGAAUAAUGAACGAAAGAUACUUCAGAAAGACGACCUAAAAUUAUUUUCCACGAUGAAUAAUAUCACCAAUCACCGUAAUCUUCAACCUGACCUCAGCAAUCUCGUGUCUGGGUGCAAGGUGAAGAACUUAUCCAAGUGUUGCAUAAUAAUGCUUACUCGUAGACGAUAUAGUUCUUCUUUUUGCAUACACGUGCCCCCGAUAACGGAAAUCUGACUUUGAUUAGUAGGGCAAAAAACUUGUGCAAAAAUGUAAAGUGUAUGGGGAUGGUUGGGCAAGGGAUGGUUUCCUAAGGGAUGGUAUCCUAAGGGAUAGAUCCGUUUACAACGAUAGAUCUUCGAGGCGUGAGUGGACGGAGGGUCGUUUGAUGGCAAUUAUUACUACCAGCGAAUAAACGUAUGUCCUCGCGUGCCGCGUCAUAACGAUCGCUCUUCGGACUCGAUAUAUCCUAUGGAUUAUACGGGGCUUACCGCGUAACUAUCGCUCGUCCAUCCCUAGCAAGGUUCUGUAUACGUAGUUAAA